UUGACUGUGAAUCGUUGCCUUCAGUGCUGGCUCCGGCAAGUGCACGUUGGUGACUUUCAUCCAACACUCUUGUGAACCUUUGGCCUCUUGCUGGCCUCGGCUGGCAGAGGAUUUUUACACACACUCGAAUGUAAUGAAAACGUUUGUCGUGCGCAAGCACUAAUGUA
rnacentral:misc_RNA from 1 species